rnacentral:rRNA from 1 species
GUUGGCCUACGGGACGCAGCAGUGAGGAAUAUUGGUCAAUGGACGAGAGUCUGAACCAGCCAAGUAGCGUGAAGGAUGACUGCCCUAUGGGUUGUAAACUUCUUUUAUAUGGGAAUAAAGUUUUCCACGUGUGGAAUUUUGUAUGUACCAUAUGAAUAAGGAUCGGCUAACUCCGUGCCAGCAGCCGCGGUAAUACGGAGGAUCCGAGCGUUAUCCGGAUUUAUUGGGUUUAAAGGGAGCGUAGGUGGAUUGUUAAGUCAGUUGUGAAAGUUUGCGGCUCAACCGUAAAAUUGCAGUUGAAACUG